rnacentral:rRNA from 1 species
GACGAACGCUGGCGGCGUGCUUAACACAUGCAAGUCGAACGGAAAGGCCCUGCUCUUGUGGGGUGCUCGAGUGGCGAACGGGUGAGUAACACGUGAGUAACAUGCCCUUGUCUUUGGGAUAACUUCAGGAAACUGCGGCUAAUACCGGAUAGGAGCUCCUGCUGCAUGGUGGGGGUUGGUGAGAUACGGCGGUUGGGGAUGGUCUGGCGGGUUAUCCGCUUGUUGGUGAGGUAGUGGCUUACCAAGGCUUUGAAGGGUAGCCGGCCUGGGAGCGUUACCGGCGACCUUGGGCCUGAGGUACGCACCAGACUCCUACGGGAGGCAGUAGUGGGGAAUAUUGCGCAAUGGGCGGAAGCCUGAUGCAGCAACGCUGCGUGCGGGAUGACGGCCUUCGGGUUGUAAACCGCUUUCGCCUGUGACGAAGCGUGAGUGACGGUAAUGGGUAAAGAAGCACCGGCUAACUACGUG